rnacentral:rRNA from 1 species
UUCAACAAUGGAUCUCUUGGCUCUCGCAUCGAUGAAGAACGCAGCGAAAUGCGAUAAGUAAUGUGAAUUGCAGAAUUCAGUGAAUCAUCGAAUGUUUGAACGCAUCUUGCGCUCCUUGGUAUUCCUUGGAGCAUGCCUGUUUGAGUGUCAUUAAAUUGUCA